rnacentral:sRNA from 1 species
ACUUGAGAGAGAGAAUUGUGUCUCCCCUAUGAAGAUGGAUUGCUUGAGACAGAGUUCAAUAGAUGAUGUUAAACAGAUAAGCUGAGGGCAGGGAGACUGAGCUUUGGAAGAGGGCCUUUCAGGCAGCGAGGCCGCUGGCCUGUGGCUCCCUCUGAUGAGCUUCUUCUAAAGAUGAUAAGGGCUGGGGGAAGAGCUUGGCAGCAGGGGCUGCACUCUCUCUCAGCUGUGUCUAUCUUGGCCAAGGGUUUUAUGUUCCUAUUGGUAGGGGAUUCGAGAGCAGAGAGCGUCACCAAUACACUCGUGUUGUUCACCAUAGGAGAAGAGUCCCUGACCAUUUUUGUGGACAAGCGGAAACUGGGAAGAAAGACAGAGACAACAGGAGGUGCCUCUAUAAUCGGGGGCAGUGGGAACAGCACAGCUGUGUCCCUGGAGACCCUGCACCAGCUGGCCGCCUCCUACUUCAUCGACAGAGAGAGCACGCUGCGACGGCUGCACCAUAUCCAGAUAGCCACGGGGGCCAUCAAGGUCACCGAGACCAGGACCGGUCCUCUGGGCUGCAGCAACUAUGACAAUCUGGACUCAGUCAGUUCUGUCUUGGUACAGAGUCCAGAGAACAAAGUACAGUUACUUGGCCUUCAGGUGCUGCUGCCUGAGUAUCUGCGUGAGCGCUUUGUAGCUGCAGCACUCAGCUACAUCACGUGCAGCUCUGAGGGUGAGCUCGUCUGCAAGGAGAAUGACUGCUGGUGCAAGUGCAGCCCCACCUUCCCUGAAUGCAACUGCCCUGAUGCUGACAUCCAGGCCAUGGAGGACAGCCUGCUGCAGAUCCAGGACUCCUGGGCCACUCACAACCGGCAGUUUGAAGAGUCAGAAGAGUUCCAGGCCCUGCUGAAAAGGCUGCCCGAUGACCGGUUCCUGAACUCCACAGCUAUCUCCCAGUUCUGGGCCAUGGACACCAGCCUUCAGCACCGCUACCAGCAGCUGGGAGCUGGCUUGAAAGUGCUGUUCAAAAAGACCCAUCGGAUCGUCCGCCGGCUCUUCAACCUCUGCAAGCGCUGCCAUCGCCAGCCUCGCUUCCGCCUGCCCAAGGAGAGGUCCUUGUCCUACUGGUGGAACCGAAUCCAGUCCCUCCUCUACUGUGGGGAAAGCACCUUUCCUGGCACUUUCCUGGAACAGAGCCACAGCUGCACCUGCCCCUAUGACCAAUCUUCCUGCCAGGGCCCCAUCCCAUGUGCCUUGGGCGAAGGGCCCGCGUGUGCCCACUGUGCUCCAGACAAUAGCACACGCUGUGGGAGCUGCAACCCGGGCUAUGUGCUGGCCCAGGGGCUGUGCCGGCCAGAGGUGGCCGAGUCCCUGGAAAACUUUCUUGGGCUGGAGACAGACUUGCAGGACCUGGAGCUAAAGUACCUGCUGCAGAAGCAGGAUAGCCGCAUUGAGGUACACUCCAUCUUCAUCAGCAAUGACAUGCGGCUGGGCAGCUGGUUUGACCCUUCCUGGAGGAAGCGCAUGCUGCUCACCCUGAAAAGCAACAAGUACAAGCCUGGGCUGGUGCACGUGAUGUUGGCCUUGUCUUUGCAGAUCUGUCUCACCAAGAACAGCACCCUGGAGCCUGUCAUGGCUAUCUACGUCAACCCUUUUGGGGGCAGCCACUCUGAGAGCUGGUUCAUGCCUGUGAAUGAGGGCAGCUUUCCUGACUGGGAAAGGACUAACGUGGAUGCAGCUGCCCAGUGCCAAAACUGGACUAUCACCUUGGGGAAUAGGUGGAAGACUUUCUUUGAGACAGUUCAUGUUUACCUACGGAGCCGAAUCAAGUCCCUGGAUGACAGCUCCAAUGAGACAAUCUACUAUGAGCCCCUGGAGAUGACUGAUCCCUCUAAGAAUUUGGGUUACAUGAAAAUUAACACCUUGCAGGUCUUUGGCUACAGCCUGCCCUUUGACCCAGAUGCUAUCCGGGACUUAAUUCUCCAGUUGGACUACCCAUAUACUCAAGGUUCCCAGGACUCUGCACUCUUGCAGCUCAUUGAGCUCAGGGACCGGGUGAACCAGCUUUCUCCACCUGGCAAAGUCCGACUUGACCUUUUCUCCUGCUUGCUCCGGCAUCGGCUUAAGCUGGCCAACAAUGAGGUGGGCAGGAUCCAGUCCUCCCUGAGGGCUUUCAAUUCUAAGCUGCCAAACCCUGUGGAAUAUGAGACCGGCAAACUCUGUAGCUAAUGGGUGGCCCACUUCAGCACUGGGCAAGGAGGGGAUCCACGAAUCUGGGGUACAAAGAUAAUCUAAGCCCUCACCUUAGUGCCAACAGGGUGCGCUCCCACGAGACUUUCAGCAUCCAGUAGAUGGGACCUCGAGGCUCGAGCUGAAGCAGGCGAGAGAGAAACAGCUACUGCGUGCGUGCGCGCACACAUACACACACACACACACACACACUGGCACAGGGAGGCUACAACUAAGCAGCCUCAGAUCUGUAAAGUUGAUUGGUGCUUUGUAAAAUGAAUGCAAUUG